rfam:Hordeum vulgare subsp. vulgare, WGS project CAJW01000000 data, contig: morex_contig_1585114
AAAGUACUCCCUCCGUCCGGAAAUACUUGUCACAAGAAUGGAUGUAUCUAGAUAUGUUUUAGUUCUAGAUACAUUCAUUUUUAUCCAUUUGUGCGACAAGUAAUUCCGGACAGAGGGCGUACCAA